rnacentral:rRNA from 1 species
AUGGCCAAAGCUUGGAGAAGUAAUUAUCAUGGGAUAUCUCAGGUAUCAAAGUCGAUGUUCAUGGCUCAUUUUAGAACAUUAGAAGCUAUGAUGUUUGUUAUCACAAGACAACCUUGGAUUAUGGGUUCUGAUAAUCUGUUGUUGGAGUGGCUCGAUCCUUCUGACGAGGCAAAAGAAAAGGAGGACUAUCGGUUCGACACUAUAUAUGUCACCAUCAGGAUUUAUGGUAUUCUGGAACAGGUAGGAGAGCCAUCUGAAUUUCAUCCACUUCAUCAGGGUAUGCUAUAUGCUAAAGCAGAGUAUAUGUGGGGCACUGCUAGGUUGCAGAUUAAUAGUCCAAUUAAGGAUAGGAUUAUGGUCAACUUUCCAAAUGAAUCAUCUGGUUUAGCUUAUCUAUUCUAUGAGAAAAUUGGGAGAAUCUGCACUUUCUGUGGAAUUAUGUUCCACAAUGUUCAGGGAUGUCCUCUCAGGAAUCAGAUUAUCUUAAACAGGCAAAAAAGAGGAAUUUCUACUACAGAUGUUCCAUCAAAGAGAUUUGGAGAAUGGAUCAAUACUCUAGAGCUCAUUCCUCAGUUUGAUACAACAAAUAGAAGUUCUUUCAAUCCAGUUUUCAGUUCACAUCAGAAUCCUCAACUUACUAGAUUCCAACGUUUAUUUGCCGAGGAGUCAAAAGGGAAAAUCUUGGCUUCGGUUGUUUGCCCAACAGAAUUCAGCAAUGAAAAAGAUAAUGAGAAGUUAGCCAGAAACUACCAUCAGAAAGGUUCAACUCCACACACUAAAACUUCAACUAUAAAGGAGUCACGUAACAUUUACCAUGGUGGCAGCCAGAUACCAAUUGAUGUUUACGACAGAGAUCAGACUCAAUGUGGUCUGGUUGUGGGGGGAUCUAAUGGAAACCAUCCUGACAUGAUUCAACAAGUGGCUGUUGAAGGGUGA